AUUGAACGCUGGCGGCAGGCCUAACACAUGCAAGUCGAGCGGAAACGAUCCUAGCUUGCUAGGAGGCGUCGAGCGGCGGACGGGUGAGUAACGCGUGAGAAUCUACCCAUGAGUGGGGGACAACCCGGGGGAAACUCGGGCUAAUACCGCAUACGCCCUACGGGGUAAAGCAGGGGACCUUCGGGCCUUGCGCUGAUGGAUGAGCUCGCGUCGGAUUAGCUUGUUGGUGAGGUAAAGGCUCACCAAGGCGACGAUCCGUAGCUGGUCUGAGAGGAUGAUCAGCUACACCGGGACUGAGACACGGCCCCGACUCCUACGGGAGGCAGCAGUGGGGAAUCUUGGACAAUGGGGGCAACCCUGAUCCAGCAAUGCCGCGUGUGUGAAGAAGGCCUGCGGGUUGUAAAGCACUUUCAGCAGGGAGGAAGGCUUACCCCUAAUACGGGUGAGUACUUGACGUUACCUGCAGAAGAAGCACCGGCUAAUUUCGUG
rnacentral:rRNA from 1 species